UCCAUAAAGCUGAGACAGAGCUGGGCAGAGGACAUGGCAGGAAGAAGUUACCUCUGGAAAGUCCUCAGUCACUGAGCAUCUAUUGUCACCAGGAGUUUAGAGUUUACAUGGGUACGUAAAUCCUGCAGCUUGAUGAAAUUGCUCAUGACUGGAUAACUCUUUGGAUAGCAUUGCCCAGAGGAAAGUGGCAGAAUAUCAUAAGAAGGUACAUUCUGAUGAUUACCAAUACACCAUGUGUGAUCCUUGCCACCAAUGUGGAUAUGGUUUUGUUGGUCACUCCUAAUCUCUCAGGAUCCCGCUGUUUUCCCAUGUGCCAAUGAAGACAAUGUCUACCUAAUUUCUACUGACUUCAUCUGAUGCCCUCAGUUCUUACACUGGAAAAUAACAUUAAGAGAAGUUUUCACUGGAACUCUACGUGGGUCC